rnacentral:rRNA from 1 species
AUUGGAGAGUUUGAUCCUGGCUCAGGACGAACGCUGGCGGCGUGCCUAACACAUGUAAGUCGAACGGGACCGGGGGCAACUCCGGUUCAGUGGCAGACGGGUGCGUAACACGUGAGAAACCUGUCCAUCGGCGGGGGAUAGCCGGCCCAACGGCCGGUUAAUACCGCGUACGAUCGUUUGGGGGCAUCCCCGAACGAUGAAAGCAACGCAAGUUGCGCCGGCGGAGGGUCUCGCGGCCUAUCAGCUAGUUGGCGGGGUAACGGCCCACCAAGGCGACGACGGGUAGCUGGUCUGAGAGGAUGGCCAGCCACAUUGGGACUGAGACACGGCCCAGACUCCUACGGGAGGCAGCAGUGGGGAAUCUUGCGCAAUGGCCGCAAGGCUGACGCAGCGACGCCGCGUGUGGGAUG